rnacentral:rRNA from 1 species
UGUGACAUACCUAUAACUGUUGCUUCGGCGGGUAGGGUCUCCGCGACCCUCCCGGCCUCCCGCCUCCGGGCGGGUCGGCGCCCGCCGGAGGAUAACCAAACUCUGAUUUAACGACGUUUCUUCUGAGUGGUACAAGCAAAUAAUCAAAACUUUUAACAACGGAUCUCUUGGUUCUGGCAUCGAUGAAGAACGCAGCGAAAUGCGAUAAGUAAUGUGAAUUGCAGAAUUCAGUGAAUCAUCGAAUCUUUGAACGCACAUUGCGCCCGCCAGCAUUCUGGCGGGCAUGCCUGUUCGAGCGUCAUUUCAACCCUCAAGCUCUGCUUGGUGUUGGGGCCCUACAGCUGAUGUAGGCCCUCAAAGGUAGUGGCGGACCCUCCCGGAGCCUCCUUUGCGUAGUAACUUUACGUCUCGCACUGGGAUCCGGAGGGACUCUUGCCGUAAAACCCCCCAAUUUUCCAAAGGUUGACCUCGGAUCAGGUAGGAAUACCCGCUGAACUUAAGCAUAUCA